UACGUAGGGGGCAAGUGUUAUCCGGAUUUACUGGGUGUAAAGGGAGCGUAGGUGGCAUGGUAAGCCAGAAGUGAAAACCCGGGGCUCAACCCCGCGGAUUGCUUUUGGAACUAUCAGGCUGGAGUGCUGGAGGGGUAAGCGGAAUUCCUAGUGUAGCGGUGAAAUGCGUAGAUAUUAGGAGGAACACCGGUGGCGAAGGCGGCUUACUGGACAGAAACUGACACUGAGGCUCGAAAGCGUGGGGAGCAAACAGG
rnacentral:rRNA from 1 species